rnacentral:tRNA from 1 species
GGAGGGGUGGCUGAGCGGUCGAAAGCGCUGGUCUUGAAAACCAGAGAGGUGAGAGCCUCCCAGGGUUCGAAUCCCUGCCCCUCCGCCA